CCAAAUUGUGACCACGGCAACGGGCUCGUCGGCCGCACGGCACGGGCGCCACCGCGCCAGCCGAGGCGUUGGCGGCGCAGGCGAGCCAGCCGCUGUUGUCUCGUCCCGCCGAGCAAACGCUUCUGCUGCUUCCUACUGUGUAGCAUCGGAAAGCAGACGGCGGCGACGAUUGAUCUGUUCGUCCUGAACGGACCAGUGACGGCGGCGGCGGCGGCGGCGGACGGAGACGGGCUGACUUUGGAGCAAAUUUCUUCACUGCGUCGUCUACGGACAGGAAUAUCUUGUCGUCGCCGAUGAGCUCCGUGAAUUUUGCUGACCGCAGCUUCUGGAUCACUGCUGGCCCGGGAUUCGCGAGUAUCAGCUGUAAGUGGCACACAUGGAUUUAUUUGUUAGUAAAGUGUUUCUUCCAUGAUCAUUCUUGCGGAGUUGCGGUAGCAGCUAGUAGCUGUACAAUUCUGAUCCUAGUUUUUGGUAUUUUACCUGAAUUUUGCGCUUUUCAAGCGCUUUGAG